AGAGUUUGAUCAUGGCUCAGAUUGAACGCUGGCGGCAUGCCUUACACAUGCAAGUCGAACGGCAGCACGGGAGCAAUCCUGGUGGCGAGUGGCGGACGGGUGAGUAAAGUAUCGGAACGUGCCCAGUCGUGGGGGAUAACGUAGCGAAAGCUACGCUAAUACCGCAUACGAUCUAUGGAUGAAAGCGGGGGAUCGCAAGACCUCGCGCGAUUGGAGCGGCCGAUAUCAGAUUAGGUAGUUGGUGGGGUAAAGGCCUACCAAGCCGACGAUCUGUAGCUGGUCUGAGAGGACGACCAGCCACACUGGGACUGAGACACGGCCCAGACUCCUACGGGAGGCAGCAGUGGGGAAUUUUGGACAAUGGGCGCAAGCCUGAUCCAGCAAUGCCGCGUGCAGGAUGAAGGCCUUCGGGUUGUAAACUGCUUUUGUACGGAGCGAAAAGGCUUCCACUAAUACUGGAGGCUCAUGACGGUACCGUAAGAAUAAGCACCGGCUAACUACGCGCCAGCAGCCGCGGUAAUACGUAGGGUGCAAGCGUUAAUCGGAAUUACUGGGCGUAAAGCGUGCGCAGGCGGUCUUGUAAGACAGGUGUGAAAUCCCCGGGCUUAACCUGGGAACUGCACUUGUGACUGCAAGGCUGGAGUACGGCAGAGGGGGAUGGAAUUCCGCGUGUAGCAGUGAAAUGC
rnacentral:rRNA from 1 species